rnacentral:misc_RNA from 1 species
GGCGGCUUCGAGAUCGUCGACAACGAUGAGGACGUUGUCCAUCCGUUUAAGUGUCAUAUCCUUCCUUUCCUCGUUCACUGCUGAUGGCGCGUACUUGCCGCACGUGGCGCAGAACUUGUGAUUCUCCAAGGGAGAUUGCG